GAUGAACGCUGGCGGCGUGCCUAAUACAUGCAAGUCGAGCGAACAGACGAGGAGCUUGCUCCUUUGACGUUAGCGGCGGACGGGUGAGUAACACGUGGGUAACCUACCUAUAAGACUGGGAUAACUUCGGGAAACCGGAGCUAAUACCGGAUAAUAUUUCGAACCGCAUGGUUCGAUAGUGAAAGAUGGCUCUGCUAUCACUUAUAGAUGGACCUGCGCCGUAUUAGCUAGUUGGUAAGGUAACGGCUUACCAAGGCAACGAUACGUAGCCGACCUGAGAGGGUGAUCGGCCACACUGGAACUGAGACACGGUCCAGACUCCUACGGGAGGCAGCAGUAGGGAAUCUUCCGCAAUGGGCGAAAGCCUGACGGAGCAACGCCGCGUGAGUGAUGAAGGUCUUCGGAUCGUAAAACUCUGUUAUUAGGGAAGAACAAACGUGUAAGUAACUGUGCACGUCCUGACGGU
rnacentral:rRNA from 1 species